rnacentral:lncRNA from 1 species
GUGGGUGUUAGCGUUCAAGCUGGUCUGAGUAUGACUAUGGUAUUUUGUUGUUAAGCAUGACUAUAGCCAAUAGAAAAAUUAUCAAGUUACAUGUCCUUGUUUCAAAGCACCUAAUGAGAACUGCUAGAGAGAUUCACCAGUGUUAUUUAACUUGUAUGAGGUGAGAAAUCACGAAUGUAUUCAAUCAAUGGGCAAGGACUGACUAAACACCUAACAUGUGUUCUCUCUUUAAUUAGAACUUUUGGUUACAACAACAAAAGCCAGCUGAAGCCGGUGGUGGUGAAAGUGGAGUUUUUUGGAAAGAUGCAAGAUGAUCUGUGGAACCCAGGACCUCGAAGCUAACAAUUAGCUGAUCAUCUGGCAAGCCAGUGAUUGAUUCAGUUGUCACCCUGUUUUAGGAACUUUUGCAUUGGAACAGAAGCCACAAAUGCCUGAUACCAAAGAGUGUAAGUGCCUGGGAUUUUAGGACUGAGAUACUAAGUGCAACAUCAAAGAUUCCAUCUGUGCCCCUUUGUUUGGGAAUAGAAUGAGCAAACAAGAUGCCAGCUGUCCAGCAGUGAGGGAGCUUUGGCCCUGGACUGGAACAUUUUUAGAGCAGCAGAAGUGGGGCCAUCACAUAACUGGGCAGCAUCUUUAGGGAGGAAAAAACAGCCAACAUAGGUACUGUCUGAGGACCAGUUAGCUUCAGAGGAGGCCUUGUCUUGGUAUUCAUUUGCAGCUAAAAGAGGCAAGGGCAGAGGGGCCAGGCAGCAUUUGGUGUGGGGAGACAGGGAUUUGAAUUCUUGAUCCACCACAUUGUCCCCUUCUGUAAAUGGGCUCACAAUAUUCAUCAUGGUAGUCUGUGUGCCAACCCCUGCCACACAUUAGAUGUUCAGUAUAUGCAUAUUAUAUCUAAACCUCAAGUCCUACUUAAAAUAACAGAAUUUUCCUGAAUGCCUACCCUAGGCAGGAAUCUUUGAGGCUUCUGAGUAGAACUUUCUGUAGCAAGGCACUGACCACCUCGUAAAUC